CCGUACCUGGCUUUUAAGAGGUGGAAAACAGCGCUCAGAAGCACUCAAGUUAAUUUUCAAGUCACAAGGUCAGACGUCGGAAGUAAAAUAUUCAAAUCUGCGGAUAAAAAACGUGAGGUAGGGCGGCGACUAUCCUUUUGGCCGGAAACAGAACUUUUGAGAAAAAAAAAAAAUUGCGAGACCGGUUAUCGCGAGAGCCGCUGUGGACAGGCUCGGCCAAUCAGCGUAGGCGCCGGCUGCUGCAUUCAUAAGGAGACGCAGCCGGCGGCGCGGC
rnacentral:lncRNA from 1 species